AACGCAGGUGGUUUGGUAAGUCAGGGGUGAAAGUCCACAGCUUAACUGUGGCACUGCCUUUGAUACUACCUUUCUUGAGUGCAUGAGGGGGAAGCGGAAUUCCGAGUGUAGAGGUGAAAUUCGUAGAUAUUCGGAGGAACACCGGUGGCGAAGGCGGCUUCCUGGCAUGUAACUGACACUCAUGUUCGAAAGCGUGGGGAGCAAACAGGAUUAGAUACCCUGGUAGUCCACGCCCUAAACUAUGGGCACUAGGUGUGGGAGGUAUCGACCCCUUCCGUGCCGCAGCUAACGCAUUAAGUGCCCCGCCUGGGGAGUACGGCCGCAAGGUUGAA
rnacentral:rRNA from 1 species